CCGGCACGGGUGGAGUAACGCGUAUGCAACUUACCUAUCAGAGGGGGAUAACCCGGCGAAAGUCGGACUAAUACCGCAUGAAGCAGGGGCCCCGCAUGGGGAUAUUUGCUAAAGAUUCAUCGCUGAUAGAUAGGCAUGCGUUCCAUUAGGCAGUUGGCGGGGUAACGGCCCACCAAGCCGACGAUGGAUAGGGGUUCUGAGAGGAAGGUCCCCCACAUUGGUACUGAGACACGGUCCAA
rnacentral:rRNA from 1 species